rnacentral:rRNA from 1 species
GAUGAACGCUGGCGGCGUGCCUAAUACAUGCAAGUCGAGCGAAUGGAUUAAGAGCUUGCUCUUAUGAAGUUAGCGGCGGACGAGUGAGUAACACGUGGGUAACCUGCCCAUAAGACUGGGAUAACUCCGGGAAACCGGGGCUAAUACCGGAUAACAUUUUGAACCGCAUGGUUCGAAAUUGAAAGGCGGCUUCGGCUGUCACUUAUGGAUGGACCCGCGUCGAAUUAGCUAGUUGGUGAAGUAACGGCUCACCAAGGCAACGAUGCGUAGCCGACCUGAGAGGGUGAUCGGCCACACUGGGACUGAGACACGGCCCAGACUCCUACGGGAGGCAGCAGUAGGGAAUCUUCCGCAAUGGACGAAAGUCUGACGGAGCAACGCCGCGUGAGUGAUGAAGGCUUUCGGGUCGUAAAACUCUGUUGUUAGGGAAGAACAAGUGCUAGUUGAAUAAGCUGGCACCUUGACGGUACCUAACCAGAAAGCCACGGCUAACUACGUGCCAGCAGCCGCAGUAA